AUGACUGUAGUAGAUAUGAACAUUAACAGGGAUGUUACUGUAGUAGAUAUGAACAUUAACAGGGAUGUUACUGUAGUAGAUAUGAACAUUAACAGGGAUGUUACUGUAGUAGAUAUGAACAUUAACAGGGAUGUUACUGUAGUAGAUAUGAACAUUAACAGGGAUGUUACUGUAGUAGAUAUUAACAGGGAUGUUACUGUAGUAGAUAUGAACAUUAACAGGGAUGUUACUGUAGUAGAUAUGAACAUUAACAGGGAUGUUACUGUAGUAGAUAUGAACAGGGAUGUUACUGUAGUAGAUAUGAACAUUAACAGGGAUGUUACUGUAGUAGAUAUUAACAGGGAUGUUACUGUAGUAGAUAUGAAUAGGGAUGUUACUGUAGUAGAUAUGAAUAGGGAUGUUACUGUAGUAGAUAUGAACAUUAACAGGGAUGUUACUGUAGUAGAUAUUAACAGGGAUGUUACUGUAGUAGAUAUGAAUAGGGAUGUUACUGUAGUAGAUAUGAACAUUAACAGGGAUGUUACUGUAGUAGAUAUUAACAGGGAUGUUACUGUAGUAGAUAUGAACAUUAACAGGGAUGUUACUGUAGUAGAUAUGAACAUUAACAGGGAUGUUACUGUAGUAGAUAUGAACAGGGAUGUUACUGUAGUAGAUAUUAACAGGGAUGUUACUGUAGUAGAUAUGAACAUUAACAGGGAUGUUACUGUAGUAGAUAUUAACAGGGAUGUUACUGUAGUAGAUAUGAACAUUAACAGGGAUGUUACUGUAGUAGAUAUGAACAUUAACAGGGAUGUUACUGUAGUAGAUAUUAACAGGAAUGUUACUGUAGUAGAUAUGAACAGGGAUGUUACUGUAGUAGAUAUGAAUAGGGAUGUUACUGUAGUAGAUAUGAACAUUAACAGGGAUGUUACUGUAGUAGAUAUUAACAGGGAUGUUACUGUAGUAGAUAUGAACAUUAACAGGGAUGUUACUGUAGUAGAUAUGAACAUUAACAGGGAUGUUACUGUAGUAGAUAUGAACAGGGAUGUUACUGUAGUAGAUAUGAACAUUAACAGGGAUGUUACUGUAGUAGAUAUUAACAGGGAUGUUACUGUAGUAGAUAUGAACAGGGAUGUUACUGUAGUAGAUAUGAACAGGGAUGUUACUGUAGUAGAUAUGAAUAGGGAUGUUACUGUAGUAGAUAUGAACAUUAACAGGGAUGUUACUGUAGUAGAUAUUAACAGGGAUGUUACUGUAGUAGAUAUGAAUAGGGAUGUUACUGUAGUAGAUAUGAAUAGGGAUGUUACUGUAGUAGAUAUGAACAGGGAUGUUACUGUAGUAGAUAUUAACAGGGAUGUUACUGUAGUAGAUAUGAACAGGGAUGUUACUGUAGUAGAUAUGAAUAGGGAUGUUACUGUAGUAGAUAUGAACAUUAACAGGGAUAUUACUGUAGUAGAUAUGAAUAGGGAUGUUACAGUAGUAGAUAUGAACAGGGAUGUUACAGUAGUAGAUAUGAACAGGGAUGUUACUGUAGUAGAUAUGAACAGGGAUGUUACUGUAGUAGAUAUGAACAUUAAUAGGGAUGUUACUAUAGUAGAUAUGAACAUUAAUAGGGAUGUUACUGUAGUAGAUAUGAACAUUAAUAGGGAUGUUACUAUAGUAGAUAUGAACAUUAAUAGGGAUGUUACUGUAGUAGAUAUGAACAUUAAUAGGGAUGUUACUGUAGUAGAUAUGAACAGGGAUGUUACUGUAGUAGAUAUGAACAUUAAUAGGGAUGUUACUAUAGUAGAUAUGAACAUUAAUAGGGAUGUUACUGUAGUAGAUAUUAAUAGGGAUGUUACUGUAGUAGAUAUGAACAUUAAUAGGGAUGUUACUGUAUUAGAUAUGAACAUUAACAGGGAUGUUACUGUAGUAGAUAUUAAUAGGGAUGUUACUGUAGUAGAUAUGAACAUUAAUAGGGAUGUUACUGUAUUAGAUAUUAACAGGGAUGUUACUGUAGUAGAUAUGAAUAGGGAUGUUACUGUAGUAGAUAUGAACAUUAACAGGGAUGUUACUGUAGUAGAUAUGAAUAGGGAUGUUACUGUAGUAGAUAUUAAUAGGGAUGUUACUGUAGUAGAUAUUAAUAGGGAUGUUACUGUAGUAGAUAUGAACAGGGAUGUUACUGUAGUAGAUAUGAACAUUAACAGGGAUGUUACUGUAGUAGAUAUGAACAGGGAUGUUACUGUAGUAGAUAUGAACAGGGAUGUUACUGUAGUAGAUAUGAAUAGGGAUGUUACUGUAGUAGAUAUGAACAUUAAUAGGGAUGUUACUGUAGUAGAUAUGAAUAGGGAUGUUACUGUAGUAGAUAUGAACAGGGAUGUUACUGUAGUAGAUAUUAAUAGGGAUGUUACUGUAGUAGAUAUGAACAGGGAUGUUACUGUAGUAGAUAUUAAUAGGGAUGUUACUGUAGUAGAUAUGAACAUUAACAGGGAUGUUACUGUAUUAGAUAUUAACAGGGAUGUUACUGUAGUAGAUAUGAACAGGGAUGUUACUGUAGUAGAUAUGAACAUUAACAGGGAUGUUACUGUAGUAGAUAUGAACAGGGAUGUUACUGUAGUAGAUAUGAACAGGGAUGUUACUGUAGUAGAUAUUAACAGGGAUGUUACUGUAGUAGAUAUGAACAGGGAUGUUACUGUAGUAGAUAUGAACAGGGAUGUUACUGUAGUAGAUAUGAAUAGGGAUGUUACUGUAGUAGAUAUGAACAUUAACAGGGAUGUUACUGUAGUAGAUAUUAAUAGGGAUGUUACUGUAGUAGAUAUGAACAGGGAUGUUACUGUAGUAGAUAUGAAUAGGGAUGUUACUGUAGUAGAUAUGAAUAGGGAUGUUACUGUAGUAGAUAUGAACAGGGAUGUUACUGUAGUAGAUAUGAACAUUAACAGGGAUGUUACUGUAGUAGAUAUGAACAUUAACAGGGUUGUUACUGUAGUAGAUAUGAACAUUAACAGGGAUGUUACUGUAGUAGAUAUGAAUAGGGAUGUUACUGUAGUAGAUAUGAACAUUAACAGGGAUGUUACUGUAGUAGAUAUGAACAGGGAUGUUACUGUAGUAGAUAUGAACAGGGAUGUUACUGUAGUAGAUAUGAAUAGGGAUGUUACUGUAGUGGAUAUGAACAUUAACAGGGAUGUUACUGUAGUAGAUAUUAAUAGGGAUGUUACUGUAGUAGAUAUGAACAGGGAUGUUACUGUAGUAGAUAUGAACAGGGAUGUUACUGUAGUAGAUAUGAACAGGGAUGUUACUGUAGUAGAUAUGAACAGGGAUGUUACUGUAGUAGAUAUGAACAGGGAUGUUACUGUAGUAGAUAUGAACAGGGAUGUUACUGUAGUAGAUAUGAAUAGGGAUGUUACUGUAGUAGAUAUGAACAGGGAUGUUACUGUAGUAGAUAUUAACAGGGAUGUUACUGUAGUAGAUAUUAACAGGGAUGUUACUGUAGUAGAUAUGAACAUUAACAGGGAUGUUACUGUAGUAGAUAUUAACAGGAAUGUUACUGUAGUAGAUAUGAACAGGGAUGUGACUGUAGUAGAUAUGAAUAGGGAUGUUACUGUAGUAGAUAUGAACAUUAACAGGGAUGUUACUGUAGUAGAUAUUAACAGGGAUGUUACUGUAGUAGAUAUGAACAUUAACAGGGAUGUUACUGUAGUAGAUAUGAACAUUAACAGGGAUGUUACUGUAGUAGAUAUUAACAGGAAUGUUACUGUAGUAGAUAUGAACAGGGAUGUUACUGUAGUAGAUAUUAACAGGGAUGUUACUGUAGUAGAUAUGAACAGGGAUGUUACUGUAGUAGAUAUGAACAGGGAUGUUACUGUAGUAGAUAUGAACAUUAAUAGGGAUGUUACUAUAGUAGAUAUGAACAUUAAUAGGGAUGUUACUGUAGUAGAUAUGAACAUUAAUAGGGAUGUUACUAUAGUAGAUAUGAACAUUAAUAGGGAUGUUACUGUAGUAGAUAUGAACAUUAAUAGGGAUGUUACUGUAGUAGAUAUGAACAGGGAUGUUACUGUAGUAGAUAUGAACAUUAAUAGGGAUGUUACUAUAGUAGAUAUGAACAUUAAUAGGGAUGUUACUGUAGUAGAUAUGAACAUUAACAGGGAUGUUACUGUAGUAGAUAUUAAUAGGGAUGUUACUGUAGUAGAUAUGAACAUUAAUAGGGAUGUUACUGUAUUAGAUAUUAACAGGGAUGUUACUGUAGUAGAUAUGAAUAGGGAUGUUACUGUAGUAGAUAUUAAUAGGGAUGUUACUGUAGUAGAUAUUAAUAGGGAUGUUACUGUAGUAGAUAUGAACAGGGAUGUUACUGUAGUAGAUAUGAACAUUAACAGGGAUGUUACUGUAGUAGAUAUGAACAGGGAUGUUACUGUAGUAGAUAUGAAUAGGGAUGUUACUGUAGUAGAUAUGAACAGGGAUGUUACUGUAGUAGAUAUGAACAUUAAUAGGGAUGUUACUGUAGUAGAUAUGAACAGGGAUGUUACUGUAGUAGAUAUGAACAGGGAUGUUACUGUAGUAGAUAUGAACAUUAACAGGGAUGUUACUGUAGUAGAUAUGAACAGGGAUGUUACUGUAGUAGAUAUGAAUAGGGAUGUUACUGUAGUAGAUAUGAACAGGGGUGUUACUCUAGUAGAUAUGAACAUUAAUAGGGAUGUUACUGUAGUAGAUAUGAACAGGGAUGUUACUGUAGUAGAUAUGAACAGGGAUGUUACUGUAGUAGAUAUGAACAGGGAUGUUACUGUAGUAGAUAUUAACAGGGAUGUUACUGUAGUAGAUAUGAACAGGGAUGUUACUGUAGUAGAUAUUAACAGGGAUGUUACUGUAGUAGAUAUGAACAGGGAUGUUACUGUAGUAGAUAUGAACAGGGAUGUUACUGUAGUAGAUAUUAACAGGGAUGUUACUGUAGUAGAUAUGAACAGGGAUGUUACUGUAGUAUAUAUUAAUAGGGAUGUUACUGUAGUAGAUAUGAAUAGGGAUGUUACUGUAGUAGAUAUGAACAUUAACAGGGAUGUUACUGUAGUAGAUAUUAAUAGGGAUGUUACUGUAGUAGAUAUGAACAGGGAUGUUACUGUAGUAGAUAUGAACAGGGAUGUUACUGUAGUAGAUAUGAAUAGGGAUGUUACUGUAGUAGAUAUGAACAGGGAUGUUACUGUAGUAGAUAUGAAUAGGGAUGUUACUGUAGUAGAUAUGAACAUUAACAGGGAUGUUACUGUAGUAGAUAUUAAUAGGGAUGUUACUGUAGUAGAUAUGAACAGGGAUGUUACUGUAGUAGAUAUGAACAGGGAUGUUACUGUAGUAGAUAUGAACAGGGAUGUUACUGUAGUAGAUAUGAACAGGGAUGUUACUGUAGUAGAUAUGAACAGGGAUGUUACUGUAGUAGAUAUGAACAGGGAUGUUACUGUAGUAGAUAUGAAUAGGGAUGUUACUGUAGUAGAUAUGAACAUUAACAGGGAUGUUACUGUAGUAGAUAUUAAUAGGGAUGUUACUGUAGUAGAUAUGAACAGGGAUGUUACUGUAGUAGAUAUGAACAGGGAUGUUACUGUAGUAGAUAUGAACAGGGAUGUUACUGUAGUAGAUAUGAACAUUAAUAGGGAUGUUAUUAUAGUAGAUAUGAACAUUAAUAGGGAUGUUACUGUAGUAGAUAUGAACAUUAACAGGGAUGUUACUGUAGUAGAUAUUAAUAGGGAUGUUACUGUAGUAGAUAUGAACAUUAAUAGGGAUGUUACUGUAUUAGAUAUUAACAGGGAUGUUACUGUAGUAGAUAUGAAUAGGGAUGUUACUGUAGUAGAUAUUAAUAGGGAUGUUACUGUAGUAGAUAUUAAUAGGGAUGUUACUGUAGUAGAUAUGAACAGGGAUGUUACUGUAGUAGAUAUGAACAUUAACAGGGAUGUUACUGUAGUAGAUAUGAACAGGGAUGUUACUGUAGUAGAUAUGAACAGGGAUGUUACUGUAGUAGAUAUGAACAGGGAUGUUACUGUAGUAGAUAUGAACAUUAAUAGGGAUGUUACUGUAGUAGAUAUGAACAGGGAUGUUACUGUAGUAGAUAUGAACUGGGAUGUUACUGUAGUAGAUAUGAACAUUAACAGGGAUGUUACUGUAGUAGAUAUGAACAGGGAUGUUACUGUAGUAGAUAUGAAUAGGGAUGUUACUGUAGUAGAUAUGAACAGGGGUGUUACUGUAGUAGAUAUGAACAUUAAUAGGGAUGUUACUGUAGUAGAUAUGAACAGGGAUGUUACUGUAGUAGAUAUGAACAGGGAUGUUACUGUAGUAGAUAUGAACAGGGAUGUUACUGUAGUAGAUAUUAACAGGGAUGUUACUGUAGUAGAUAUGAACAGGGAUGUUACUGUAGUAGAUAUGAAUAGGGAUGUUACUGUAGUAGAUAUGAACAGGGAUGUUACUGUAGUAGAUAUGAAUAGGGAUGUUACUGUAGUAGAUAUGAACAUUAACAGGGAUGUUACUGUAGUAGAUAUUAAUAGGGAUGUUACUGUAGUAGAUAUGAACAGGGAUGUUACUGUAGUAGAUAUGAACAGGGAUGUUACUGUAGUAGAUAUGAACAGGGAUGUUACUGUAGUAGAUAUGAACAGGGAUGUUACUGUAGUAGAUAUGAACAGGGAUGUUACUGUAGUAGAUAUGAAUAGGGAUGUUACUGUAGUAGAUAUGAACAUUAACAGGGAUGUUACUGUAGUAGAUAUUAAUAGGGAUGUUACUGUAGUAGAUAUGAACAGGGAUGUUACUGUAGUAGAUAUGAACAGGGAUGUUACUGUAGUAGAUAUGAACAGGGAUGUUACUGUAGUAGAUAUGAAUAGGGAUGUUACUGUAGUAGAUAUGAACAGGGAUGUUACUGUAGUAGAUAUGAACAGGGAUGUUACUGUAGUAGAUAUGAAUAGGGAUGUUACUGUAGUAGAUAUUAACAGGGAUGUUACUGUAGUAGAUAUUAACAGGGAUGUUACUGUAGUAGAUAUUAACAGGGAUGUUACUGUAGUAGAUAUGAACAGGGAUGUUACUGUAGUAGAUAUGAACAGGGAUGUGACUGUAGUAGAUAUGAAUAGGGAUGUUACUGUAGUAGAUAUUAAUAGGGAUGUUACUGUAGUAGAUAUUAACAGGGAUGUUACUGUAGUAGAUAUGAACAUUAACAGGGAUGUGACUGUAGUAGAUAUGAACAGGGAUGUUACUGUAGUAGAUAUUAACAGGGAUGUUACUGUAGUAGAUAUGAACAUUAACAGGGAUGUUACUGUAGUAGAUAUGAACAGGGAUGUUACUGUAGUAGAUAUGAACAUUAACAGGGAUGUGACUGUAGUAGAUAUGAACAUUAACAGGGAUGUUACUGUAGUAGAUAUUAACAGAGAUGUUACUGUAGUAGAUAUGAACAUUAACAGGGAUGUUACUGUAGUAGAUAUGAACAGGGAUGUUACUGUAGUAGAUAUGAAUAGGGAUGUUACUGUAGUAGAUAUGAACAGGGAUGUUACUGUAGUAGAUAUGAACAUUAAUAGGGAUGUUACUGUAGUAGAUAUGAACAGGGAUGUUACUGUAGUAGAUAUGAACAGGGAUGUUACUGUAGUAGAUAUGAACAGGGAUGUUACUGUAGUAGAUAUGAACAUUAACAGGGAUGUUACUGUAGUAGAUAUGAACAGGGAUGUUACUGUAGUAGAUAUGAACAGGGAUGUUACUGUAGUAGAUAUGAAUAGGGAUGUUACUGUAGUAGAUAUGAACAUUAACAGGGAUGUUACUGUAGUAGAUAUGAACAGGGAUGUUACUGUACUAGAUAUGAAUAGGGAUGUUACUGUAGUAGAUAUGAACAUUAACAGGGAUGUUACUGUAGUAGAUAUGAACAGGGAUGUUACUGUAGUAGAUAUGAACAUUAACAGGGAUGUUACUGUAGUAGAUAUGAACAUUAACAGGGAUGUUACUGUAGUAGAUAUUAACAGGGAUGUUACUGUAGUAGAUAUUAACAGGGAUGUUACUGUAGUAGAUAUGAACAGGGAUGUUACUGUAGUAGAUAUGAACAGGGAUGUUACUGUAGUAGAUAUGAACAUUAAUAGGGAUGUUACUGUAGUAGAUAUUAACAGGGAUGUUACUGUAGUAGAUAUGAACAGGGAUGUUACUGUAGUAGAUAUGAACAUUAAUAGGGAUGUUACUGUAGUAGAUAUGAACAGGGAUGUUACUGUAGUAGAUAUGAACAUUAAUAGGGAUGUUACUGUAGUAGAUAUGAACAGGGAUGUUACUGUAGUAGAUAUGAAUAGGGAUGUUACUGUAGUAGAUAUGAACAUUAAUAGGGAUGUUACUGUAGUAGAUAUGAACAGGGAUGUUACUGUAGUAGAUAUGAAUAGGGAUGUUACUGUAGUAGAUAUGAACAUUAAUAGGGAUGUUACUGUAGUAGAUAUUAACAGGGAUGUUACUGUAGUAGAUAUUAAUAGGGAUGUUACUGUAGUAGAUAUUAAUAUGUAUAUCACCUGA
ensembl:lncRNA